AGCAUUAUUGUGAUACUCUCUCUUUCAGCACUUGCUGCCGCCUCGUCGCCUCUUGGAGUCAUCGCCGGGGCAUUAGCUGGUCACGGAGCUGCAACAACGCUCGCUGUUCUAGGAGGUUCUUUUCUGGGAACAUACUUAUCGGAGAAGGUUAUUGCUUACAUUGGUGGCACUCUCUUUCUCGUCUUUGCUGCAGUUACAUUGAUCGAGAUAGUUACUUAGAAACAACAAUUUUUUCCCGCCUUCAGCGAGAACCACAUUGGAUGAAUUCGCCUCUAUAAAUAGGUUAAGAGAACUACAAUUGACGACUUGUGUCAUUAUAGAGUGAUUAGAGUCGAGUAGGUUGAUGCCUUCAGAAUUUUUUGUAUGUAUUAGAGAACUAUUGUUUACCAUAUUUGCGCUGCACGUUAUGUGUUACUAUGUUACGAUCACGUUAGUAUUG